rnacentral:rRNA from 1 species
AUGGACAGCACGUGCUUUAGACUCCAUCAGCUUGAAGCCAUUACAAACAACUUCUCAGGGGAUCAAAAAGUAGGCAGCGGCGGGUAUGGAGAUGUUUACAAGGCGGUGCUUAAUGGCGAAGAGAUUGCUGUGAAGAAGCUUCAUGUUUUGCAAGGACUCGAUGAUGAGGAUUUUCGCAAUGAACUCUGUAACUUUAACAAGGUCAAUCACAAAAAUAUCAUACGGUUAAUUGGCUACUGCCAUGACACACACGAGAGAUGCGUGGAAUAUGGAGGGGAACUUAUCUUAGCGAGAAUAGUGGAGCGACUUCUCUGCUUCGAGUAUAUGCAGGGGGGAAGCCUUGAUAAGCAUAUUGGAGAUGAAUCUUGCCUACUUGAUUGGGCCACAUGUUAUAAAAUCAUUCAAGGGACAUGCGAGGGAUUAAAUCACCUUCACAAUGCACAGGAAAAACCAAUUUUCCAUCUGGACUUAAAGCCUUCUAAUAUAUUGCUGGAUAACAACAUCACGCCGAAAAUUACAGAUUUACAUUUCUCGACACGUGUUGCUUCAACAGAAGAAUAUUACAAAACAGAGAUUAUUAGAGGGACAAUGAGCUAUAUGCCACCAGAAUACAUAGAAUGUGGUAUUGUAUCAAACAAAUUUGACGUGUUCAGUUUGGGUGCAGUAAUUAUAAGAGUGGUGGCAGGAAAUAAGGGCUACUACCGUGGUCAUCGUGAAUUGUCUCGCACGCAGUUUAUCGAGCUUGUAGUUGAAAACUGGAAGGGAAGGUUGCAACCAAGUUCCGAGUAUCGAUCACACGACAUAGACAUAUUACGGGUGCGUACAUGUGUUGAGAUGGCAUUACGAUGUGUGGACAGAGACCGGGAAAAAAGGCCCUGUAUAGAGGAUAUUGUCCAUGAACUGGAGGAACUAGAAGCUGAGAUUAAGAGAAUAAUGUCAGUACCUCUUGAGGAGUCAAAAGUCUUAAUACCGCAGAUGGGAUCCAAUCCAUACCACCUCCCGUUACAACAUUUGAAAGACAUCACAGACAAUUUCUGUGAUGACCGCAAACUUGGUAGUGGUGGUUUUGGUGUCGUAUAUAAGGGAGUGCUGCAAAAUGGGAAUAUGGUUGCAGUGAAGAAGCUUGUGAUGUCCACGCCGAAGUCACAGAACCAAUUUGAGAAUGAGGGUGAUCUUCUUAUGACACUGAAGCACCCAAAUAUAGUGCGACUAUUGGGCUACUGCUAUGAAACAGAACUUAUAUAUGUGCCUUACAAAGAUAAAUUCGUUUUUGCUCAAGACACACAACAUUUGCUUUGCUUGGAAUAUAUGCCUAAUGGAAGUCUUGACAAUUACAUUUCAGAUGCAUAUGUGUCUUCUGGACUUGAUUGGCACACACGUUACAAAGUAAUUGAGGGCAUUGCCUUUGGUCUAAAGUAUCUUCACGAGGAAGCUACCGUUCCCAUUAUUCACUUGGACCUAAAACCUCCUAACAUAUUGCUUGAUGAAAAUUUUGUACCAAAAAUUACAGACUUCGGUCUGUCAAGAUUGUUUCAUCAAAAUCAGACUAUUCACACUGCAACUUAUACUGGAACAUUUGGUUACAUGGCGCUAGAAUACCAGCUACGAGGUAUAAUCACACCUAUGGCAGACAUAUUCAGUUUGGGUGUAAUAAUCAUGGAGGUAAUAACGGGGCACAGGAAAUACCCUUACCCAGAUGAUAUCAGAAAGUCUUCCAAGGACUUCAUCGAGCGAGAAGUUCAAAAAUGGAGAAUUAAGCUGCAAGAAGAACCAGGAUAUAUAUCACUAGAAGCAGACUGCCAACAAAUAGAAAAAUGCAUUCAGAUAGGUCUAAUUUGCGUGAAUCCUGAGCCAACAAAAAGGCCUACGGUGAAGAAAAUUAUUGAUAUGCUUCAAGGGUUGGAAAGUAUGGAAUGGUACAUUCGCAACGAGCUAUCAAUCGACGGCAUCCAGGAGGAGCAGUAG